UACAGAGGUGGCAAGCGUUGUUCGGAAUUACUGGGCGUAAAGGGCGCGUAGGCGGCCUUCUAAGUCAGACGUGAAAUCCCCCGGCUUAACCUGGGAACUGCGUCUGAUACUGGAGGGCUUGAGUGCGGGAGAGGGAUGUGGAAUUCCAGGUGUAGCGGUGAAAUUCGUAGAUAUCAGGAGGGACACCGGUGGCGAAGGCGGCCGCCUGGACAGUUACUGACGCUGAGACGCGAAAGCGUGGGGAGCAAACAGG
rnacentral:rRNA from 1 species